GCACCGUCCUUCCCGCUCCUCUUUGUCGGGUUCUCAUCCCUGCUAUUCACUUAGUGGGGAACCAAAGGUCUGCUCCCGCCCUCGGUGGGGGGUAGAGCUGGAGGCCCGGACCAUUUACUUUGAAAAAAUUAGAGUGUUCAAAGCAGACAAGUUAAAACUGUCAUUGAAAUAUAUUAGCAUGGGAUAAUGGAAUAAGCCUCUCCUGCUUAUUUUGUUGGUUUCUAAGUAGGGAGAAAUGAUUGAUAGGGACAGUUGGGGGCAUUAAUAUUUAAUUGUCAGAGGUGAAAUUCUUGGAUUUAUGAAAGAUUAACUUCUGCGAAAGCAUUUGUCAAGGAUGUUUUCAUUAAUCAAGAACGAAAGUUAGGGAUCGAAGAUGAUUAGAUACCGUCGUAGUCUUAACCAUAAACGAUGCCGACCAGCGAUUGGGAGACGUUACACAUGCUGCUCAAAAGGUAGCAUGGAUGACUCCCCCAGCAGCUUGUGAGAAAUCAUAAGUCUUUGGGUUCCGGGGGGAGUAUGGUCGCAAGGCUGAAACUUAAAGGAAUUGACGGAAGGGCACCACCAGGAGUGGAGCCUGCGGCUUAAUUUGACUCAACACGGGGAACUUACCAGGUCCGGACAUAGUAAGGAUUGACAGAUUGAGAGCUCUUUCUUGAUUCUAUGGGUGGUGGUGCAUGGCCGUUCUUAGUUGGUGGAGUGAUUUGUCUGGUUAAUUCCGUUAACGAACGAGACCUUAACCUGCUAAAUAGUCAAUCCUGCUAUUCAAAACCAGGGGUAAGCGCGGUGCGGUCGGCUCUCAGCCUUCGGGUUGGGGUCGGUUCGUGCCCCUUGCUUCUGGCGGUUGGAUUGGUAGAAGUACUUCUUAGAGGGACAAUCGGUGAUUAGCCGAGGGAAGUUUGAGGCAAUAACAGGUCUGUGAUGCCCUUAGAUGUUCUGGGCCGCACGCGCGCUACACUGAUUAAUUCAACGAGUGCCACACCUUGGCCGAAAGGUCUGGGUAAUCUUGUGAAAUUUAAUCGUGAUGGGGAUAGAUUAUUGUAAUUGUUAAUCUUCAACGAGGAAUUCCUAGUAAGCGCGAGUCAUCAGCUCGCGUUGAUUACGUCCCUGCCCUUUGUACACACCGCCGUCGCUCCUACCGAUUGAAUGGUCCGGUGAAAUCUUCGGAGUCUGACCUCUCCGCGAUCCGGGCAACUGGGUCGUGAGGUUGGGCAAAGUCGAUUAAAUCUUACCAUUUAGAGGAAGGAGAAGUCGUAACAAGGUUCCGUAGGUGAACCUGCGGAAG
rnacentral:rRNA from 1 species